rnacentral:sRNA from 1 species
AAGUCGUAACAAGGUUUCCGUAGGUGAACCUGCGGAAGGAUCAUUACACAUUCGGGGCGCUUCGGCGCUCCUUAUACACCCACCCUCUGCCUACGUGUACCUCUAUAGCUUCCUCGGCGGGCUCGCCCGCCGCCAGGAACCCACGAAACCCCUUGCAUUAUACGCGAAAACUUCUGAUAACAAACCUAAAUUAUCACAACUUUCAACAAUGGAUCUCUUGGUUCUGGCAUCGAUGAAGAACGCAGCGAAAUGCGAUAAGUAGUGUGAAUUGCAGAAUUCAGUGAAUCAUCGAAUCUUUGAACGCACAUUGCGGCCAUAGGUAUUCCUUUGGCCAUGCCUGUUCGAGCGUCAUUUACACCCUCAAGCCUAGCUUGGUGUUGGGCGUCUGUCCCGCCGUUUUCGCGCGCGGACUCGCCUCAAAGUCAUUGGCGGCGGUCGUGCCGGCCCCCUCGCGCAGCACAUUUGCGCUUCUCGGAGGCCCGGCGGAUCCGCGCUCCAGCAAGACCUUUCACGACUUGACCUCGGAUCAGGUAGGGAUACCCGCUGAACUUAA